CCACAUUGGGACUGAGAUACGGCCCAGACUCCUACGGGAGGCAGCAGUGGGGAAUAUUGCACAAUGGGCGCAAGCCUGAUGCAGCGACGCCGCGUGAGGGAUGGAGGCCUUCGGGUUGUAAACCUCUUUUAUCGGGGAGCAAGCGUGAGUGAGUUUACCCGUUGAAUAAGCACCGGCUAACUACGUGCCAGCAGCCGCGGUAAUACGUAGGGUGCAAGCGUUAUCCGGAAUUAUUGGGCGUAAAGGGCUCGUAGGCGGUUCGUCGCGUCCGGUGUGAAAGUCCAUCGCUUAACGGUGGAUCUGCGCCGGGUACGGGCGGGCUGGAGUGCGGUAGGGGAGACUGGAAUUCCCGGUGUAACGGUGGAAUGUGUAGAUAUCGGGAAGAACACCAAUGGCGAAGGCAGGUCUCUGGGCCGUUACUGACGCUGAGGAGCGAAAGCGUGGGGAGCGAACAGGAUUAGAUACCCUGGUAGUCCACGCCGUAAACGAUGAGUGCUAGGUGUUGGAUCCUUUCCGGGAUUCAGUGCCGCAGCUAACGCAUUAAGCACUCCGCCUGGGGAGUACGACCGCAAGGUUGAAACUCAAAGGAAUUGACGGGGGCCCGCACAAGCAGUGGAGUAUGUGGUUUAAUUCGACGCAACGCGAAGAACCUUACCAAGUCUUGACAUCCCUUGACGAACAUAGAAAUAUGUUUUCUCUUCGGAGCAAGGAGACAGGUGGUGCAUGGUUGUCGUCAGCUCGUGUCGUGAGAUGUUGGGUUAAGUCCCGCAACGAGCGCAACCCUCGCCCUGUGUUGCCAGCACGUCAUGGUGGGAACUCACGGGGGACCGCCGGGGUCAACUCGGAGGAAGGUGGGGAUGACGUCAGAUCAUCAUGCCCCUUACGUCCAGGGCUUCACGCAUGCUACAAUGGCCGGUACAACGGGAUGCGACACGGCGACGUGGAGCGGAUCCCUGAAAACCGGUCUCAGUUCGGAUUGGAGUCUGCAACCCGACUCCAUGAAGGCGGAGUCGCUAGUAAUCGCGGAUCAGCAACGCCGCGGUGAAUGCGUUCCCGGGCCUUGUACACACCGCCCGUCAAGUCAUGAAAGUGGGCAGCACCCGAAGCCGGUGGCCUAACCCCUUGUGGGAUGGAGCCGUCUAAGGUGAGGCUCGUGAUUGGGACUAAGUCGUAACAAGGUAGCCGUACCGGAAGGUGCGGCUG
rnacentral:rRNA from 1 species